ACAGACGUAAUUCCUGUGCGAAAAAUACAGCCCGUGACUAUCGCAAACAACACGAUUAUAAUAAUUAACUAGCAAAAAGAUCAUACCUCGUUUUAACAAGAAUGAGUCAAAAAAAAAAAAAAAAAAAAAAUGCCGUUACACACACAAAAUUAUCUCGUAAAUCCGCUACCUUCAUUAGUGUUGUGGAUGACUCGGCUCUUAUUUUCUAUAGGCGGAGUCCGAGAGGCGUUUGUGUGUGAUGGGAACUGCGUGAGGUCGAGAUUUUUGUGCACGGCAACGGGGGAGGGGCCUGUCAGCGUAACGGGAAAAAUACGCCUUUGUCGUCACAGUUUGACGCCAUCAGCGGUCGAAGGUACACACCUCAUCUCGAAGUAAACAAGUUGGUGGAGGAGAGGAAGGUAGAUCUAACACGUAACCACGCCUACCCUUCUCCCGAAAAUGGAAUCCUCGCAAAACACACUCCCUACAUCGCCCUACGAGACUACACCCGCCCCCUACAGCCAAGACCCAGGUUCUCACCUUCCCAGCGACAACGGAAAUGCCUCAGGUCGUCUUUUCAACGGAGGGACCAUCGAAACUCUGGGAUACAUCAUGACCAUGGCCUUCCUCGCAAGGGUCAUCGCAGACGUCGUUAGGCGAGUGCGCGCAGGGCGUUCGCUCCGCCGUCGGGAGGCUGGUGGCGAUCUCCUAGACCUGACCCGGAGAGUGUGGGCGUCCCUGUGGGCGUGGGAGAACAGGAUAAGGCAUCAUAAAAGUGUCAAGCAAGUCCCUGGGAGAUAGCGGGCUCAUUUGUAGCACUGAAUAUUGUGUAUGUUCAAAUAUUUGUUAUAAUUUCGUACGACUUGACUUCUUAUUGUUGAUAUAAAAAGUGUGUCAGUCA